UGGGUUGUGGCUCAGUGAUAGAGUGCUUGCUUGGCAUGAGUGAGGCACUGAGUUUGAUUCUCAGCAUCUCAU
rfam:Ictidomys tridecemlineatus contig042547, whole genome shotgun sequence.